rnacentral:lncRNA from 1 species
CUCACCUUCAUUCUCUCACACCUCACUCACUCAAACAAACUUUUCUUCCUCUAUUCUCCACCUUCACAAAACCCUCGCCGUCAUUCACCCUCCAUCUUCCACACCUUCUUCAACCACCAUCCAUCGUCAUCAUCUCCACCGCUCAAACUCACGACCCACCUUCAACCCCAUCAAAAUCCUCUCUCAAACACACCGAUCCACCCUUAAAACCACCGAUCUACUCAACAACGUCACCGACAUCGCGCUCGCCGUGACCCACCAACAAACCCUCUUCGCCGUCGCCGAUACACCGUCACGAAGUUCUCCACCCUCCGAAACUCCUUCGGAUUCGCCGCCACAGCACAUCAAUCCAACAACAAUAGCAUUCCGCAAGCUCCUCCUUCCACCUGUCCAUAACCGAGCUAAAGUUGGAAAUCUCCGACUCUGAUAUCUUCAAGAAGCUCAAUUUAUUGUGGCGCAAACUCAUCAACAUUGCCAACACAACAACAUUGUGGGUAACGGCAUUCUAAGGCCAUAUUUUUAUUAUGUUGGUUAUUUGUUUUACUGUAAGAUUCUGUGUAAAGUUGGGUCUCUGUGAUAUUGAUUUUGUUUCAUAGCAUUGUUUUAACCGUUAGGAUGAAUAAGUGUCAUGCAUAAUAGGUUUCUUUUGUCUUAUUUUUCCAUGUGGAUUCAUUGUUAUCAUUUACUAGAGACUAGCGCAUUGAGUGUUGCAGAAGUUUGUUGGUCUGUUGCGUUCAACAUUUUGUUUAGAAUGUGGGUUUACAUUAAACUCUGAAAUUGUUACUAAAGUCACUUUAGUCAUAUAUUCAAUUGGUGUGUGUAGGUUUUUUUUGAUGAUUUCAAUUGCUAAUUUGUUUCCGUUCCGAUUUUGCUGUUGGAUUUCUUGAGUCCAGGUUAUUAAAUUUCUGAAAAUAUAUAUGUUGCUAGUGCAUAUACUGCUUAAGAUGUUGCAACAAUCCUGUAGGUAAUCACAAGAUACUGCGCUUUAAGGAUAUACUAUGCUUUUAAGAAUAUACUAUGCUACUGUUAUGACACUCAAUUUAGCUUCAAUUACAUGUUCAUCAUAUUAUGUAUAAACCGUUUGGUCGCUAUGUAAAUAGAAAUAGAGUUUUAUAUUAUUAUCUUGUCCCAUGCUUGCCCGAUUUAAUUAAUGGAUUCGACGACUCAUGUCGAUAUGCCACCAACAGUUCAAUAAAGUAAUUGAAUAUUUCACCGUGUUUUCAUCUUCGCAUACGACGUUUCGAUGGUCGAUAUGUAUAAACCGGUUUAGGAGCACAUUGUGACCGAUUUCAUUUAACCCCAUUAAACUACAUUGCUAGUUAUUUUCUAUCACUUUUUAAUUAAAUUAAGUUGAAUUUUUAUUAAUGAGCUAAUUCCGAUUAAUUAAAAUUAAUUAACUUAAUUAUUUUGAUUCAAUCAAAUCUUAAGAAAAUUAAUUUGGUUAAUUAGAAAUUUAUUGAUUUAAUUCAAUUUCAAUUCAUCAACAACACAAACCAAUUUCAAAAAGCACAAAUCAUACAAUUCUCGAUUUAACAUCGAGCCCAUUUUUAAAACACCCUUGUAAGUCGAUUGCUCUUCGCAUCGCCAUCAACCUCACAUAGCUUACUCUUGGGCUUUCUUACAAUGAAACCUACUUGGUUCUUGAUUAAUCGAGUAGAUGAAAUAAUACACCAAAUAAAACUCAUUUCAUUCAUAAACACGAAUUCAAACCAUUUAAUUUCAAAAGAAUUUUCUCUUGUAAACAUAAACUUGGGAUGAAAAGGAGAUAGGAAGCGUACGAUUCACUAUUUCUCAAGCACUUGAAUAAUUGGCGUACGCCACAUUGCUCGAGUUCUUGUCACCCGAUUAAAUCUUAAAUCACAUAAUUUCAAAUCACUUUUCAAAAUCAAAUAUAAUUCCGAAUUCAAAUUAUUCAAACCAUGACACUUCAAAUCAUAAUAUUUCAAAUCAUUUCUACAAAUUCCAAAUCCUUUUAAUUCCAUAUUUCAGAUGAAAAGAGGAUAGGAGGCGUACGCCUCACUAUCUUUCGAUCAUUCGAAUAAUUGGCGUACGCCACAUUGCUCGAGCCUUCGUCAUCAAAUCAAAACGCAAUCAGAUAAAUUCAAAUCACCUUUUAUAUCAAACCCAAUUUCGAUCCUAGAGUAGGGCCGAUCCUAGAGUAGGGCCGAUCCCUAUUCCGAUCCCCAUGGUCAACAUGAACCCCCAUGAGCAUUCUGCUACAUCUGCUCGACAUGGAUCCAUGAUGGGUGAUGAAGAUCCGUAUGACGCUUUCUUCAUGCCACAACCCGCCAAACCUGUUGUUGGAGGUCUCCCAGACCCAUCUGUUGAUAGACUCCAUGCUUUGGAGGAAAAGUUUAAGUCCUUGGAGGUUCACACUACUCCCGGUCUGGACGCCGUUGACAUGUGCCUGGUGCCAGGACUCGUGAUUCCACAAAAAUUCAAAGUCCCGGACUUUGACAAGUACAAAGGGAUCAGCUGCCCAAGAACACACCUCAGAGCCUACUGUCGCAAAAUGGCUUCCCACAUCAGUAACGAUCAACUCCUGAUUCAUUACUUCCAAGAUAGCCUCAGUGGGGCAUCUUUGGAGUGGUAUAUGCAGCUAGAGAGAGGUCAGGUCCAAUCUUGGAGAGAUCUCGCUGAAGCAUUUCUAAGGCAUUAUCAGUACAAAACUGAUCUAGCACCAAACCGCACCCAGCUGCAAGACAUGACUCAACGCAACGACGAGUCAUUCAAGGAAUACGCCCAGCGGUGGAGAGAGCUAGCAGCUCGUGUCCAACCUCCUCUUCUUGAUAAGGAAUUAAUCGAUAUGUUUAUGGGAACUCUGCAUACCCAGUACAUGGAGAAGAUGGUAGGGUCCAGCUUCCCAACUUUUGCUGAGGUCGUCUCCGUGGGAGAACGAAUCGAGAGCCAAAUCAAGAAGGGAAAACUACCUUGUGCUGCUAAUGCUUCAAGUGGGAUGAAGAAGCCUUAUCCUAAUCUCCCAAAGAAAGGUCGUCUCCGUGGGAGAACGAAUCGAGAGCCAAAUCAAGAAGGGAAAACUACCUUGUGCUGCUAAUGCUUCAAGUGGGAUGAAGAAGCCUUAUCCUAAUCUCCCAAAGAAGCCAGAAGGUCAGACCAACGCCAUAACGAGAGGAGGAGGAUAUAGGGCACCUCCAUAUGCUCCUAUGCCGUAUCAUCAGGUUUCCGCGGUUAUCCCGACACAAUAUCAGCAGCCAUAUCAAUAGCCAGCUUAUCAACAACCACAUUAGAAUCAACAGCAACAUGCUCAACCACGUCCACCUAACCAGCAGAGGGCAAGGAGGCCAGAAAGACAUUUCGAUCCUUUUCCAGUGUCAUACAGCAAGAUCCUCCACUACUUGCUAAAGGAUGGAUCGAUUAUUCUGAAGGAGAUAACACCUGUAACUCCACCAUAUCCUCCAGGCUACGACGCCAAUGCUCACUGUGAGUAUCACAUGGGUACUCCAGGACACACAAUAGAGAACUGUAAGGCCUUCAAGCACAAGGUCCAUGACCUGAUUGAUAGUAAGGCACUUACAUUCACGCCAGUGAGGCCAAACGUCGCAACAAAUCCCAUGCCAGCGCAUGCAGAAUCGAGUGAAGCUCGAAGAUAAUGUUCCCCACCGGCCUGAACAAGCAAAACAACUCCCAACAAAGAGUCAAGAAACGAAGACCCGUUGCUUUGAAUGAAGGCAAUCAUUAUGCCAUUUUUACCAUUUUGCAUUCUUGUAAUUUGAUCUUGUUUGUCUAAGUACUGUACGCUUUAAACAUUGUUAUUUGUAUUUGGUCUUAUCAAUGGGAUGAUUAUGCAUGCUUUGAAUUAAUCUUUCAUAUUCACUCAUAUUAUCACAUUUACAAAGCACAAACACAUACUUUUCCACUUCACCUCCUUUAUCGCACUAUUGUUAGUAAAUGUUGGAAGGAGGAUGACGAAAACACAAUACUCAUAAUUGUUGAUUGUAUGCUUUCGGAUAAAACCUUGCUAAUGAUGUACAGGCAUUGUUUCAAAUCCUCAAACACCAGAGAGAUAAGGAGUUAAUCCCUAGUCAACCACUUCGAGCCUAGAAGUAGGAGUUUCUUUCAGAUCUAAAAAACCCUUACGCUUAACCUGGGGCAGGGUAGUGUUCAGUUAAUCUGACUACACUUUCGAAUUACAAGAUGAAAUAUCCCAUACAAGGAUCAACCACAUGAUAUUCUUCACACACAUCCUGAAGUGUCGAAGGAACCAUACAAAUCCAAAUGUAUAUCGGUUUUUCUUCAAUGACCAAUGACUUGGCAGUUACAAUUCAAAAAAAAGAAUCAAAGAAAAAGCCCGCUAAGUCAAACACCUUAAAAGGAGACUAAGGCAAAAACUGGGGCAAUCCCGAUGGAUUAAAGCUUCAAACAGAGCGGUCCAUGCAAAAGUUAGGGAUCAAAACAAAAAUCAAAAGAGACAGUGAAAGUUUCCAACAAAAACGAAACAAGAUUCAGUGACCACCAUACCAAAAUCAAAGGGUCACCGACAUCCAAAAAACGAAAUAAGGUGGCUGCCAUUCCAAGAGACCUUGAAUCACCAUCUUUAUCCUUACACUUGCAAAAGACAAAUGUGUGUAAAUUAACUGAACAUAGGAUUGGAGAUCAUCAUGAAGAAGGGGUGGGUUAAAAUAAACUUUGAGCCUUAUAUCCUUUUGUUUCAAUAACCAUGAACCAAGCCACGUUACAACCUUCAAAAGACCUAAUUGAAGUAAGGUUUGUUCUGAAAGCAUACUAUAGCAAGGUUGAGUAAACUGACUCCUAGAGAUUUGCUAAUAUUCUAUUCUCACUACAUCAUUCACACACUAACUAAAUCAAGCACCGCGAUUGGACACGUGAUCCACUCGCCACGCACCACCACGACACUCCCAAGUGAAUGAUUGUUUUGCAAAACUUGCAUAACUAUUGCAUUAAAAUCACCAUUUCUUGGAUAACAAUUCUUAAUUGUCAGUCAGUACUUGACAUCGAGAAAAUUCCAACAAGGAGCAAUUCAAGGGGCACUUGAUCGUUGGUGCUGACAUGAAUCAAAAUUAUCUCAUUAUCCUAUGGAUCAGGGGCAUGUCAUCUUCUGAUCAUAUUGACCUAAGAAGUAGUCAGCAUGAGACAAAUCUCUAAGCAUCGGUUGAUCAAGGAGGAAAACCACUUCAAAACUCGGCCCGCCUGGGGCAGGUCCCUCAAAGGCUAGUCAGGGGCAAGACAAGUUGCAAGGGGCAAAAUUCUCUUCAUAUCUUCAAGUCAGUCAAGCAGAUUGCGUCAGACACUAGUGACUGCUUGGAUUCACAACAAAAACGUCGAAAGUUCACGCUAGUACAUCAUCAUAUAUUAGCAAGAGAUCAAACUUGGGGAACCAAGAGUAUCCGCAUCUAUUGCGUGUUCAUCACAUCAUCAACUACCGAGUGUCGGGAAGUCAGAUCCUUUCACCAAUCAACAGUACAACCCACGUUGACAAUUACCAGAAAAGCCAAAGUCCACAUUGCUGGCACCCACACAAAAACUAUACAACCAACACUGGUUUCCAUAAAAUACAUCGCCUUUGAAAGGGGGGCCAAUCCCAAACAAACCAAUCAUUCUUUGCAUUCAAACAUACAUCACAUGCAUCACCUCAUACAUAACACAUACAUAUCAUUCAUGCAUAUAGCACAAGUCAAAAUCCAAGGUUUAGUCGUAGGCAUCCAGGACAACCCUCAGUUGAGUCAUUGUUUUUCUCUGAGUGAGUUCCUACCCUACCAUUGGGUGUUUCCCCAUAGAGCUACAUCCUUCAACCUUUUGGUGACAAGAUGUUAUCCUCAGCUUAGUCAAACAAUGUUUCUCCAAACACCUACCUUGUUUCGUAUUGAGCGUCCCUAAAUGAGUUGUUUCUUGUAACCUUUUGUUGACAGAAACUACAUCUCCAAAGAGUAUUUGUUCUGCAACCUUUUGUUGAUGGAUACCCCUAAGCAAAUCUUAACCAACAAUGCUCCAACAUUACCCAGCAAAUCAGGUUUACUGAACUUUGACAGUAGCCUUAUUUUUCCAAUAUUUUUCUCACUAUCAUGCUUUUGGUGAAAGUCCAUUGAGGAAUAAUAUUAAUCAUCACCCUGUUUACGAUAACCGUUAUCCUUUUGGUAAUGGUAGAUCCUUGACAUUUGUGAUCUUACUGUCAUCCUUUUGGUGUCGAAGAUCCUUGGAGUUUUGGUCCAACCUUCAUCCUUUAGGUGAAUGGUGACCUCUGCAAUUAUUACAUCCUACCGUCAUCCUUUUGGUGUCGGCGAUCCUUAUGGUGAUAAGCAAUCCUUGUCAUUCUGGUUCAAUCAUCAUACUUUUGGUGAUGACGUCUAGUUCAAUCUAAAUAUCAUCCUUUUGGCGAUAGAGGUUAUGGAGCCUGGUUUAAGCUAUCAUCCUUUUGGUGAUGGUGACAUUUGGAAAGUCCAAUCCCACUGUCAUCCUUUUGGUGUCAGCAAUAUUUGAAGUUAUUAUAACUUAUUAUCAUCCUUUUGGUGGUAAAAAGUUUCGAAGUUAUGAUCUCACCUUCAUCCUUUUGGUGAUGGUGAUUGUUGAUUCAUUAUCAUCCUUUUGGUAUAAUGAGUCCUGUUGUUUGUAGUACCCUCAUCCUUUUGGUGAUGGUGACUGUCGACUUAUUAUCAUCCUUUUGGUGGUAACAAGUUUUGUCGUUUGACAAUACCUUCAUCCUUUUGGUGAUGGUGACUGUUGACUUAUUAUCAUCCUUUUGGUGAUAACAAGUUUUUGUCUUGAUCCUACCUUCAUCCUUUUGGUGAUGGUGAUCAAUUGCGUUGUGUCCUUAUUAUCAUCCUUUUGGUGGUAACAAGUUUUGUCGUUUGACAAUACCUUCAUCCUUUUGGUGAUGGUGAUUGUUGACUUAUUAUCAUCCUUUUGGUGAUAACAAGUUUGUCUUGGUCUUACCUUCAGGUGAUGGUGAUUGUUGACUUAUUAUCAUCCUUUUGGUGAUAACAAGUUUGUCUUGGUCUUACCUUCAUCCUUUUGGUGAUGGUGAUCAAUUGUGUUGUGUGCUUAUUAUCAUCCUUUUGGUGAUAACAAGUUUUGUCGUUUGACAAUACCUUCAUCCUUUUGGUGAUGGUGAUUGUCGACUUAUUAUCGUCCUUUUGGCGAUAACAAGUUUUGUCUUUUAAUUAUACCUUCAUCCUUUUGGUGACGGUGAUUGUUGACUUAUUGUCAUCCUUUUGGUGAUAACAAGUUUGUAUUGGUCUUACCUUCAUCCUUUUGGUGAUGGUGAUCAAUUGUGUUGUGUGCUUAUUAUCAUCCUUUUGGUGGUAACAAGUUUUGUCGUUUGACUUUACCUUCAUCCUUUUGGUGAUGGUGAUUGUUGACUUAUUAUCAUCCUUUUGGUGAUAACAAGUUUUUGUCUUGAUCCCACCUUCAUCCUUUUGGUGAUGGCGAUCAAUUGCGUUGUGUACUUAUUAUCAUCCUUUUGGUGGUAACAAGUUUUGUCGUUUGACAAUACCUUCAUCCUUUUGGUGAUGGUGACUGUUGACUUAUUAUCAUCCUUUUGGUGAUAACAAGUUUUUGUCUUGAUUCUACCUUCAUCCUUUUGGUGAUGGUGAUCAAUUGCGUUGUGUACUUAUUAUCAUCCUUUUGUUGGUAACAAGUUUUGUCUUUUAAUUAUACCUUCAUCCUUUUGGUGAUGGUGAUUGUUGACUUAUUAUCAUCCUUUUGUUGAUAACAAGUUUUGUAUUAAUCUUACCUUCAUCCUUUUGGUGAUGGUGAUCAAUUGUGUUGUGUGCUUAUUAUCAUCCUUUUGGUGAUAACAAGUUUUUGUCUUGAUCUUACCUUCAUCCUUGUGGUGAUGGUGAUCAAUUGUGUUGUGUGCUUAUUAUCGUCCUUUUGGCGAUAACAAGUUUUGUCUUUUAAUUAUACCUUCAUCCUUUUGGUGAUGGUGAUUGUUGACUUAUUAUCAUCCUUUUGGUGAGUGAUCAAUUGUGUUGUGUGCUUAUUAUCGUCCUUUUGGCGAUAACAAGUUUUGUCUUUUAAUUAUACCUUCAUCCUUUUGGUGAUGGUGAUUGUUGACUUAUUAUCAUCCUUUUGGUGGUAACAAGGUUUUGUUUUGAUCUUAGUAUCAUCCUUUUGGUGAUGGGGAUCCUUUGAGUUGUGUGACUUAUUAUCGUCCUUUUGGUGGUAACAAGUUUUGUUUUAAAUUAUACCUUCAUCCUUUUGGUGAUGGUGAUCGUUUUGACUUAUUAUCAUCCUUUUGGUGGUAACAAGUUUUAUCUUGUACUAUACCUCCAUCCUUUCGGUGAGGGUGAUCAUUGAAGUUAUUUGACCUAUUAUCAUCCUUUUGGUGAUAACAAGCUUUGUUGUUGGAUCUUACCUUCAUCCUUUUGGUGACAGUGAUCUUUGAAGUUAACAAUUUAACUAUCAUCCUUUUGGUGAUAGCCUUGAUAUUAUACUCUCGGUAAUGGAAACUUUAUCAGAAUAACCAUCAUCCUUUUGGUGACGGACAUCAUCCUAUGGUGAUGGAAAUCUUUGGAUUGUGUCUAACUUUCAUCCUUUAGGUGAUAGCGAGAUUUGUUGUUGAUCUUACCAUCAUCCUUUUGGUGAUGGCGAUCUUUGUUGUAGCCAUUGUAACCAUCAUCCUUUUGGUGAUGACGAUCUUUGUUGUAGCCAUUGUAACCAUCAUCCUUUUGGUGAUAACUACUGUUGAAGCUCAGAUCUUUCCAUCAUCCUUUUGAUGAAGACAGUCCUGAAAAUCAUGGUGAAUUCCUAUCAUCCUUUUGGUGAUGGUGAUUAAUUUUACUGUCAUCCUUUUGGUGCCAGAGAACCCGUUCGGUUUCCGCUCUCACAUCAGAAACGACCUGUGCAAGAUUCGAGUGUCGACUCGAGGGUUGGCAGUGAUUUGGUAUUCUACCCCUAUUACCUUAGGUGCUAUUAGAAUCCAUUGCACUUUCUUUCUGCAUAUCCCCAUUGCAUUUCAAAGGACAAAAUUUGGGUCUUUUCGUAUUUAAUUACCUUCCACCACGAAUGUAUGAAGACUGUCGUCAUUCUUACUUUCUAGUUCAAGAUAAUUAAAUAGGGGCAGCUGUCAUACCCCAAUUUUGCCCGGGCAUAUUUAAUUUUUUCAUAUAAUCGAUUUCAUUUUUAUUUUUACAUCAUAUGCAUAGCAUGACAUACAUUGCAUCAUAAAUAAUGCCUAAAAUGUCAGUCAGAAUGAAUUUAUUUGAGAAUACAGACAAAUCGGUUGAAUCAUUAAAAUUUAAAGAAAUGUUGUAUUUCCUCAAUAAACACAUUUUGUGCUGAUCGUCGUAGUGCAUUAAACUUAAUUUUUUCGAACAUUUUUUGCAUUCAUUUUUAUUAUUCAAUCUAAUUCUUAUUUACUUAUUUAAUUACUUACAUAAAAAAAGAAAAAUAACAAAAAGAAAAAUAAAAAAAUAGAAACUCCAACGUCUCUCUUCCACGCGUCCAUCCAUUACCUCACUCUCUCCCCACUCAUAACUACCUCACUCUCUCUCUCAAAUCUGAAGAAAAUCUCACGCUACAUAUUCCUUACCCCACUCAAUUCACCAUCGACCUCUCUCAUCUCUCUCACGCUCAUCACUCAGUCUCUAAAAAGGAAAAAGAAAAGAGACGAUUCUCUGAUCUCCCUCAUCACUCACUCUCCACGCCUACCCACUCACAACCUCACACUCACCUUCAUUCUCUCACACCUCACUCACUCAAACAAACUUUUCUUCCUCUAUUCUCCACCUUCACAAAACCCUCGCCGUCAUUCACCCUCCAUCUUCCACACCUUCUUCAACCACCAUC